rnacentral:rRNA from 1 species
AUUGAACGCUGGCGGCAGGCUUAACACAUGCAAGUCGAGCGGGGUGAUGGUGCUUGCACUAUCACUUAGCGGCGGACGGGUGAGUAAUGCUUAGGAAUCUGCCUAUUAGUGGGGGACAACAUCUCGAAAGGGAUGCUAAUACCGCAUACGUCCUACGGGAGAAAGCAGGGGAUCACUUGUGACCUUGCGCUAAUAGAUGAGCCUAAGUCGGAUUAGGUAGUUGGUGGGGUAAAGGCCUACCAAGGCGACGAUCUGGAGCGGGUCUGAGAGGAUGAACCGCCAAACUGGGACUGGGACACGGCCCAGACUCCUACGGGGGGGAGCAGUGGGGAAUAUUGGACAAUGGGGGGAACCCUGAUCCAGCCAUGCCGCGUGUGUGAAGAAGGCCUUAUGGUUGUAAAGCACUUUAAGCGAGGAGGAGGCUCUUUUGGUUAAUACCCAAGAUGAGUGGACGUUACUCGCAGAAUAAGCACCGGCUAACUCUGUGCCAGCCGCCGCGGUAA